rnacentral:lncRNA from 1 species
AUGCACAAUCCUCAAGAUGAGGUGCUCUUUUUUCAGUACCAGUGCCAAGAUUCUGCAAGGACACAAAAAGAACUGAAACCUAAAAUCCUUCAUGAAGCUGUCAAAAAUGAGGAGAAGAACUGGUGCUGGAACCAUGAAUACCGAACCAACUUCCAGGACUCCAUUCAGAAUACAGUGACUACAUUCCUUUCCUGUCACAAACUCUGUCAUGAACCUCAAAGCUAUUUGUUCAAAGCCUUGAUCAAAGCCUGGGCCCCUCCAUCUAAGUUUACUUUGAAUUAACUACAGUCUGAGGAGGAAGGAAAUUUA